UACGAAGGGGGCUAGCGUUGCUCGGAAUUACUGGGCGUAAAGCGCACGUAGGCGGCUUUUUAAGUCGGGGGUGAAAUCCUGGAGCUCAACUCCAGAACUGCCUUCGAUACUGGAAAGCCCGAGUCCGGGAGAGGUGAGUGGAACUGCGAGUGUAGAGGUGAAAUUCGUAGAUAUUCGCAAGAACACCAGUGGCGAAGGCGGCUCACUGGCCCGGUACUGACGCUGAGGUGCGAAAGCGUGGGGAGCAAACAGG
rnacentral:rRNA from 1 species